rnacentral:sRNA from 1 species
CACCACAGUGGUCACCACACAGUCUGCUGAGGUUGGAGCUGCUGAGACGACGCUCACAGAGCUGAGACGUACAGUCCAGUCCUUGGAGAUCGACCUGGACUCCAUGAGAAAUCUGGUGAGUGCCUUCACAUCACCUGCCCAGCUCCUCCUUCACUUGGCCUCAGGCCCAACCCUGUCUCAACCCAAAUCCUAUCCCUCGCAUCAUGAGUUCCUUUAGCUCAGAAAGAGUCAGUUUCCUCUUUGCAUUUCCCUCCACUCCUAUCCCUUAUCCCAGUACUUGGCACAUAGCAGGUGCCCAAAAAAGUUUCCAAAAGUGAAGGGAUGAGGAGUCCUGGGACUCUGGGCUCACCCUGCCCCUCCUCUCUGUGCCCCUGCAGAAGGCCAGCUUGGAGAACAGCCUGAGGGAGGUGGAGGCCCGCUACGCCCUACAGAUGGAGCAGCUCAACGGGAUCCUGCUGCACCUUGAGUCAGAGCUGGCACAGACCCGGGCAGAGGGACAGCGCCAGGCCCAGGAGUAUGAGGCCCUGCUGAACAUCAAGGUCAAGCUGGAGGCUGAGAUCGCCACCUACCGCCGCCUGCUGGAAGAUGGCGAGGACUUUAAUCUUGGUGAUGCCUUGGACAGCAGCAACUCCAUGCAAACCAUCCAAAAGACCACCACCCGCCGGAUAGUGGAUGGCAAAGUGGUGUCUGAGACC